UACGAAGGGGGCUAGCGUUGCUCGGAAUCAUUGGGCGUAAAGCGCACGUAGGCGGUUUGUUAUGUCGGAUGUGAAAGCCCUUGGCUCAACUGAGGAAGUGCAUCCGAAACUGGCAAGCUAGAGUACUAAAGAGGGUCGCGGAAUUCCCGGUGUAGAGGUGAAAUUCGUAGAUAUCGGGAGGAACACCGGUGGCGAAGGCGGCGACCUGGGUAGAUACUGACGCUGAGGUGCGAAAGCGUGGGGAGCAAACAGG
rnacentral:rRNA from 1 species